AUGCAGGACCACAAGACAAAGAAUACCCGUUUUGCUUGUCCGCUAAAGCAAUGG
rnacentral:sRNA from 1 species